rfam:Amphibacillus xylanus NBRC 15112 DNA, complete genome.
UUUAGUGACAAUAGCGAAGAGGUCACACCUGUUCCCAUACCGAACACAGAAGUUAAGCUCUUCAGCGCCGAUGGUAGUUGGGUUUUCCCUGCGAGAGUAGGACGUCGCUAAGC